GUGCGAUUGUCUGGAUCAAUUUUAUUAUGAAGAUUAUCACUGCUACAAAAAACCUAUAGGGAUCGGCGAUGCGUGUCUUAGUCAAAUAGCAUGUAA